rnacentral:sRNA from 1 species
GCCAGGCUUGGUGGUGCACACCUGUAAUUCCAGCCGCUCAGGAGGCUGAGGCAGGAGGAUCGCAAGUUCAAAGGUAGCCUCAGCAACUACAAGGUGCUAAUCAACUCGGUGAGACCCUGUCUCUA